rnacentral:rRNA from 1 species
UUAUAUGGUCAAGAAGAGAAGCGCAAACGGUGGAUGCCUUGGCAGUAAGAGGCGAAGAAGGACGUGGAAUCCUGCGAAAAGCUAUGGGGAGCUGGAAACGAGCGUUGAGCCAUAGAUGUCCGAAUGGGGGAACCCGGCUGCAGCGAUGCGGUCAUUUGCAUUUGAAUACAUAGGAUGCAAAGGCGAACUCGGGGAACUGAAACAUCUAAGUACCCGAAGGAAAAGAAAUCAAGAGAGAUUCUCCAAGUAGCGGCGAGCGAACGGGGAGGAGCCUGGCGUGAUUUAUUAUUGAACUGAGUAGAACAAUUUGGGAAAGUUGGCGAUAGAGGGUGAAAGCCCCGUAUACGAAGGUUUGAUGAGGAACUAGGCACGCGAACAAGUAGGCCGGGACACGUGAAAUCCUGGUUGAAGAUGGGUGGACCAUCAUCCAAGGCUAAAUACUACUUACUGACCGAUAGUGAACCAGUACCGUGAGGGAAAGGUGAAAAGAACCCCGGAGAGGGGAGUGAAAUAGAAUCUGAAACCGUUUGCGUACAAGCAGUGGGAGCAUGGUUUAGGCUGUGUGACUGCGUACCUUUUGUAUAAUGGGUCAGCGAGUUACUUUCAGUGGCGAGGUUAACUGCAUAAGGGAGCCGUAGAGAAAUCGAGUCUGAAUAGGGCGAUAGUCGCUGGGAGUAGACCCGAAACCGGGCGAUCUAGCCAUGUGCAGGAUGAAGGUUGGGUAACACCAACUGGAGGUCCGAACCGGGUAAUGUUGAAAAAUUAUCGGAUGACGUGUGGCUAGGAGUGAAAGGCUAAUCAAGCCCGGAGAUAGCUGGUUCUCCCCGAAAGCUAUUUAGGUAGCGCCUCGUGAAUGAUUACUGGGGGUAGAGCACUGUUUCGGCUAGGGGGCUGUCAUGGCUUACCAAACCGAUGCAAACUCCGAAUACCGGCUAAUUGAAUCACGGGAGACACACGGCGGGUGCUAACGUCCGUCGUGGAGAGGGAAACAACCCAGACCGCCAGCUAAGGUCCCCAAGUACUAGUUAAGUGGGAAACGAUGUGGGAAGGCAUAGACAGCCAGGAGGUUGGCUUAGAAGCAGCCACCCUUUAAAGAAAGCGUAAUAGCUCACUGGUCGAGUCGGCCUGCGCGGAAGAUGUAACGGGGCUAAAACUAGUCACCGAAGCUGCGGAUGUGCGCGAAGGCGCACGUGGUAGGGGAGCGUUCUGUAGGCUGAUGAAGGUGCAUUGAGAAGUGUGCUGGAGGUAUCAGAAGUGCGAAUGCUGACAUGAGUAACGAUAAUGUGGGUGAAAAGCCCACACGCCGGAAGUCCCAGGUUUCCUGCACGACGUUAAUCGGAGCAGGGUGAGUCGGCCCCUAAGGCGAGGC